UGACUUUGUAGAUCCAUUUCAACCUCACCACUUCUUUUUCAUUUGGCAAAUCUACUAGUUCCCAUGUCUUGUUGUGCUUUAGAGCUUAAUUUCUGCAUCCAUUGCUUCACACCAUUCAGUAUUUUUUACAGCUACAUCAAAUGAGAUUGGUUCUUCAAUUUGUACUAGUUGACACACUUGAGUCCUUUCAUAUAUCUGCUUCAAGGAUCCCCAUUUUCUUGGUGGUGUUUUUGAGGAAGAGGAACUUGGAGAGGCUGAGUUUAAUGAGCCAGAGGAGCUGCUUUGAGGUGUUAGAGGGCUGGAACUUCUAUGUGGUGUUGAGGAACUAGAGCCAUCAUUGCUGCCUUGAUCAAAUGCAUUAUGUUCAACACUCAUUUCUUCAUUACCCUGAACAAAACUCAGACUAUUCUGCAUAUCAUUCCAUUUCCAAGCAUUUUUCUCAUUAAAAACAACAUCACGACUGAUCAGUAACUUUUUGGUGAGAGGAUUAUAAAAACGGUAUCCCUUAGUUUCAGUGCUAUAACCCACAAAAAUGCUUUUUAUGCCAUUAUCUUCUAAUUUUUCUCUUUUUUGUGAUGGAAUGUGCACAAAACCAAUGCAGCCAAAGACUUUUAAGUGAGUUACCUUUGGCUUCCAUCCAUGCCAUGCUUCAAAUGGUGUUUGUUGAGUCAAAGCUGCUGUAGGUGAUUGAUUGAGAAUAUAAGCUGCUGUGUGGAUUGCUUCAGCCCAGAAAUUGUUUGGAAGGCCUUUGGCUUUUAGCAUGCUUUUUCCCAUCUCCACUAGGCUGCGAUUCUUCCUCUCAGCAACUCCGUUUUGCUGUGGAGUGUAGCUAGCUGUUAGUUGUCUUUGGAUACCAACCUCCUCACAAAAGCUAUCAAAUCCCUUAGAGAGAAACUCUCCACCGCGGUCUGUUCUCAAGAUCUUUAUUGGCUGCUCACUUUGCUUCUCAAUGUAUGCUUUGAACUUCUUGAAGACGAAAAAGGCUUCUGACUUUUCUUUAAAAUAAACCCAUGUCAUUCGACUAAAAUCAUCAACAAAGGCCAAGAAAUACCUGUUGUUAUUGAGGGAAUGUGUCUUCACGGGCCCGCAAAUAUCUGCAUGAAUUAGUUCUACAGGUUUUGAAGCUCUUCUUGCCUUCCCUUUUGGAAAAGAGUCACGAUGCUGCUUCCCAACUACACAACUCUCACAUACUUCAUUUACAUCUUUAAUCAUAGGCAAACCAUCAACGUAAUUUUGUUCUGACAUAAGAAUCAGAUUUCUGAAACUCAAAUGACCAUAUCUAUGAUGCCAAAGCCAAUUAUCAUUUGCUAAUGUUGUCUUCAAAGCAUGUUUUUCAUCAGAGGUUAGAUUGCAAGGAAAAAUCUUAUUUUUUGCCUUGGGUACACUAGCAAGCAAAGUUUUUUUGGAUUUAUCUUUAAACACAUAGCAAGUGGAAUCCUCAAAAACAAGUGAGUAACCAUCCAAAAGAAAUUGCCCCACACAUAACGAAUUUUAAUCCAAAUCAUGAACAUACAACACGUUUUGAAUGCAAUUCAAGCCAAGAGAGUUUAGCAUCACAGUACCUUUUCCUUGUGCAACAUGUACAGUUCCAUCACCCAUUGUAAUCCUACAAGUCACCGACUCAUCCAAAUUGGUGAAAUGUUUUAAAUCACUUGUCAUGUGAUUGCUACAGCCACUAUCGAUGUACCAAACUGCUGGAGGACAUUCUUUUGCAGAAAAACAUGCAAGGAAAAGACUUUCAGUUUCAUCUUCCUCUUCCUCUUGAGCUAUGUUGGCUUGUUUCUCUUUAAGUCUACAAAACCUCUCUAUGUGCCCAUAUUUCCCACAGUAAUAGCACUGUAUUUGGCUCCUAUUUUCACCUUUGUCAGUGCUUCUAGGCUGCUGGUUGUACCCAUUUCCACCUCUGCUAGUGCUGUCAUUGAAUCGACCACCUCUUAUACCUCCUCUUCUCCCACGCGACAAAGCUCCAAGCCCCUUGUUGAAGUUGCUUUUGCUGCUUGAUUCACUAGCACCUUUUUCACCUUGUGAUAGCUGCAUCUUACUGUGUAAAAGGCAUUCUCAACAGAAAUAUUGUCAUAUCUCUUCAUCCUAUCUUCAUGAGGGAAAAGAGAACCCUGCAACUCAGCAACAGUUAGUUCUUCCAAGUCUUUUGACUCUUCAAUUGCAGCCACAACAUGUUCAAAUUUCUUAGGUAAACUCCUAAGAAUUUUUUCAACAACCUUCUGCUCACUCAAAAUUUCACCACAUCUUCUAAUUUGAUUAACAACAUCAAUCAUGUUAGAAAUGUAUUCUGACAAAGAGUCUUCAUCUUUCAUAACAGAACUUUCAAAUUUCCUACGAAGAGUUUGAAGUUUAACAGUUACCACUUUUUCAGUACCUUCGUAGACCUUUUGAAAUGCAUCCCAAGCUUCUUUUGACUUUGUUGCAGCAGCAAUGCGAGGGAAAAUGGCUUCAUCUACAGCUUGUUGGGUGGAAAACAAGGCUUUAGUAUAUUUCUUUCGAAGGUCUCUGACAUU
rnacentral:misc_RNA from 1 species